UUUUACACGUGCAAUUGGAUUGUGACUUUGUAGCCCUAUAGUUCUUUUACGGCACCAAUACUGAAUAAAGGAGAUGAAGCCUUCUCAAUAACUGUUCCAGUAUAGAAUGGUUUAUCGACUUACGAUGUCAUAAAAAUUUGGGUGCGAGUGUCCAUCAGGAAAAUUUUGAUCGAAGUGCAGAAUUUUCUUGAAUCCGAGUACGAUAAUGUUUUUAUCAGCUGAUUGUAGAGGAGGAGUUUUGUCAGUGUUAGAUGGGUACUAAUGUCAUCUUGUGGCUGCAUCCCUUUUGUUGGGCAGAGGUACAAGAGAACCAUGCAGUAACACAGAUAAAAGAUGCAGUUCCUAAGAGAUCCAAAGUCGCAGCUCCUAAGGCUAUACUGACUGAAUUAUCAACAUCCAAAACAAAUUGAUACAAAUCAAAUACAGUACUUUGUGACAGUGGGAAGAUAGAAUUUAAAAAAUGGACAUGGCACAAUUUUCCUGCAUCAGAGAUCAAUCCAGGUUUACUUAUAAUUUGAAGAAAAACAGUCAAGC